rnacentral:rRNA from 1 species
AUUGAACGCUAGCGGGAUGCCUUACACAUGCAAGUCGAACGGAGUGGCGAACGGGUGAGUAAUGUCUCGGAACGUGCCCAGUAGCGUGGGAUAACUACGCGAAAGCGUAGCUAAUACCGCAUACUCUUGGAGCUGCCGCUAUCGGAGUAGCUCGUUGGUGGGGUAACGGCGCACCAAGGCGACGAUACGUAGCUGGUUUGAGAGGACGACCAGCCACACUGUGACUGAGACACGGCCCAGACGCCUACGGGAGGCAGCAGUGGGGAAUUUUGGACAAUGGGGGAAACCCUGAUCCAGCCAUCCCGCGUGUGCGAUGAAGGCCUUCGGGUUGUAAAGCACUUGUGGCAGGAAAGCGGUACCUGCAGAAUAAGCACCGGCUAACUACGUGCCAGCAGCAGCGGUAAUAC